CACACUGCUGCUCAUUAAAACUCCAGAAUCCCUCCCUGGAAAUUUGUUCCUUUCUGAUGUGCCGUUUACACAGCUCUCAGCAACUGGCACCGGUUCUGAGAAUAUUUUAUGACUACCUUUUGCUGGGCAAAUGCCAACCCUCUGAAGAUGAAGAGAGGGGAAGUUCUGUUCAUUUUGCUUCACGGAGAAGAACCAUCUCUUGCCCGAUGACUCUGGUGUCCUCCUGCAUUCUGGUACAUUCUUCAGUGGCACGAAUAGGACCAUUCCAUGGCUAACGCCACUCACCAAAGCCUCCAUCCCCUUUCAGAUGGGAAGGAAACUGGGCAUCCAGAAUCUUGUUAUGACACAGGCGAUUCCAAACGAAAAGGGCCCCUCAGGUUUUAUUAAUGUAUUUUCUGGCUGUUAGAUAAAACAGCAGUGUUUUGGAGUCAAAGAAACAUGAGGCCUCUUCCUAGAUGAUAGACUAUGUUUUGAAGAAUGAGUUUAGGUCUCCCUUUAGUUUAUCCAAUGAACAAGGUAUGAAGUUGUUUUUCCCUCACAGCAAGGUUUCUUCAGAACAGGAUUUGAAAGUGCCUGCAAGUGGCUGAGAGAGACCUUUCUCUGAGGUGAAGAGCAGAUGAAACAUUCACUAAACAGGCUGGGUUUCCUGAGUCUUGAAGGCAAACAUGAAAAGUCUGUGAAGGAUGCUUUCUAAAGACACAUAAGAAAGGAGGGGAGGAGAGUGGGGAGAGGACAGGAAGCUGAGGCUGCAGCGAGGCAAGAGUUUGCGUCCCCAUCUUGUGUUCUUUUGGAUUUUUUUUUUUUGAGACAGGGUCUUCCUCUGUCACCUAGCCUGGUGCAGUGUUGCAAUCUUGGCUCACUGCAGCCUUGACCUCUUGGGCUCAAGUGAUCCUUCCACCUCAGCCUCCCAAGUAGCUGGGACUACAGGCAUGCGUCACCACCCCACACCCGGCUAAUUUGUGUGUGUGUGUGUGUGUGUGUGUAGAUACAAUAUAUAUAAUGUGUAUAUAUAAAUUUAUGUAUGUAUAUACAUAUAAAUAUGUAUAUAUACAUGUAUAUACAUAUAAAUAUGUAUAUAUAUACUCACAUAUCUAUCUAUACAUAUAUAUGCAUAUAGAUACACACACACACAAACACACAUUUUUUUUGUUUGGGUAGAGACAGGGUUUCUUCAUGUUUCUUCUUGUUGCCCAAGCUGGUCUCAAACUCCUGGGCUCGAGCGAUCUGUCCAUCUCAGCCCCCCACAGUGCUGAGAUUACAGGCAUGAGCCACCACACCCAGGGGACCUCUUUUGAUUUUUGAACACAGUACCUGGGCAAACUUUUUUUAAAUUUAAUUUUAAAAUAGAAUAAAAUUAUGUCAUUUAUUCAUCUCUUAGAACUUGGCAAAAUUUCCCACUCAGCUGGGUCACUUGGCCGUGUACUUGAUCUUCCUUCCUCCUUUGCCCUGGCCAAGGAGGCUCCAGUCCUGACAAUCCCCACAGCCCUUGAGGGGUGCCAUAGUGGGGACUGGUGCCCCCAGCAGAUGAGGUGGGUGCUCACCCUGGUUCUGAGACACUGCCUGGACCUCCAGUUACUGUGGGGGCUCUCACGAUAUUUUCGGAAACAUUUGAGUCUUCUGACUUAUUUUUUAAAUGGCUUACAUAGCACACCUAGAGGCUGGGAGAGUGCCACAGCAACUAGAGGUAUCGGCAGUGACAGGUGAGUGACGGGGAGUCUCAGAACCCAGUUCAGAGUCUGGACUCCACCGCAUCCUGGUGGUGCAGACUCAGGCGAGGAACUCAGGGAGUCCGAGCCUCAGCUUGCUCGCACGUAAAGUGAGGAAAGUUCACCUACUUUGCAGGGUGGUGAACACAUGAGCACAUGUAUUAGAGCUCCCUUCGUAAAGUAGUUCAUUAGCAAUCAAUGCAAACGGCGAUGGCUGCCCUGGGAGGGAAGCCCCCGAAGGAAGGAGCAGGCCCUCAAAGGCCCCUCCAAGGUCUCCUGCCUCACUAGUCCGUCCAGGGCCUGUGUGGUCAAUGGCUGGCCAGCUCACUCCACCUCCUCUCACUCCCAGGCCAUCCCAGCAUGGGGGGACAAAUUCCCUCCCUCUCCCCUUCACACCGAUGACUGGCAGGCCAAGUGCCCCCUCCCUUUGCCAACAGCACCCUGGACUGUUUCUCCCAGGUACCCACCUCUCUGCCUUUGCACAUGGAUUUGGCUACUGAUGGAAGCCCUGUUACUACACCAAUUGCUGGACCAGGAGGGAACCAAGCUGGACCACAGGGUCUCUGUCUUGGAAAUUUGAAUUUUGAGUGCUGGGACUUGAAGAUGGAAAACGGUCCCUUCUCCUUGUCCCUCGCCUUCCACCCACCCCACACGUUUCAGUCACUCACCGUCCUUUUCCCACCCACAGGAUAUCAUCUGGCUCAUGGACCCUAAAAACUGUGUUCUGAAGGAGAAGAGUGUCAUGAGAUGGCCCAUUUGCUCACAGGACAGCAGCGUUACAACCCCAAGACGCCAUGGCCCCCAUCCCCAAGCAGGGAGUCCCCAGAUAGUGUUGUGAAGGAGUCAACCAGUUCCGGAGAUGGAGGCUGAGCUACUGUGAGGUCAGUGGCCCCAGCUGGAGCCAGGCUGCUUAGAUUGCAGCUGGAGAGCUGGUGGAGGGGAGUAGGAGGGACCCGAGUCUUCUGUAGAAAGAAGCCUCUUGUCCCGGGGAGUCAGGUUCCAUGCAUUCCUGAUCCAAUGUCCGGUGCUGGGCGCCAGAGGAAACAGGGAUCCUGGGGGUCUGUCCUCAUUCUAAGCCCCCAGAGCGAGGGGCUGUAGGAAAACUCACAGAGUUGCUCCCUGGGGCUCUGUGCCAAUGUGGGCAAGAGGCACAUGUUACCACUUAUCUUGGGAUAACUUCAAGGGUCAGAGGAGGGACCCAGCCUGGCUCCCGUCACCUUAGCACAUGAGGGUCCUGGGGAAACCCCGGGGGCAGCUUCCAAAUGUGCCUCCAAGAUGAUGCCUGGAUGCGGGAGCCUGCCCUCAGGGCCACAGCCCAACCCUCCACCCUGCAGGAUGCCCUGAGAGGCUCCUUCGCCUCCCCAGAGCCAGGAGGGGCUGGGUGGGUCUGGGGGGAUCCCUUCACCCUCCUCUCACUCCCCAGUGCUUCGGGGCUUGCAGAGGUCCAGGUGAUUCCGGCAGAAACUCAACCUCAGCAAACUGGAGCUCAAGGAAACAGAGGGGCUUUUGACCUAAUUAUUCCCAAUUGCUUGUCUCCAUCGAUCACACUCUCUUGGUAAUUGCCCAACUCCCCACUUUGGGGUGGGGGGUGUGUUUCUCAGGGGGCUGCAUUCGCGUGGGAUAAAUGGGGUGUGGCGCUGAGAAACAUGCAGGCCCUCGCUUUCCGCACACUGUGGCCUUUGUGGAGGAGUGUUUUGUUUACUGCCAUUAAAAUUCAGAGAGCACGACCAGGGAGCGUGCAGGGCCGUGGGAGGGACAAGGGCUGGCUCCUCAGGGAGAGGCCUGGGCUGAUGUAAGCUGAGCGUGGGCCUGGCCCCGGGGGAGUCCCCACCAUCUGGGCCCAGAUCCCACUUACAUGGUCACUGGUGUUUGCAAACCCUUGAUUCUGUGCAGAAACCCAUCCGUGGUUCCCUUUCUGACGUCCAUCUCAGGGCCCUGGCCUCCUGGGCCCAGCAUCCAGGGAUCCUCCACACUCCCCUAGCUCCACACCUCCCACCUCACCUCACGCUAUUCCCCCAAACUGCUUCCCUGCUCAUUAUUUCUGAAGGUGACCCUGAGAACGAGCACCUCAGCCCUUGGCCUGAUCUUUGCCGGGGCCGGUGUCCCCCUGUGGAUGCAGGGCUCUCUCUGGCCUCCAGGGGACCCACGCCUGCCUCCUCCCCUCCGAGCUCCUCCAGCACCAAUGGUCUGCACCCCCUAAUUGUGUCUGGAGGGCAUCGGCUUCCCCUCAUUUCUGUACCUGACUCCCCAGCCAGCCUGAGGACUCCCGGGGGGACUUUAGGCCCCAGCACUCAACGUCACGUCACACUGGGGCAGAGCUCAGUGUGCAUCUGUUGGUUGAUGACAUUAUCAGGCAGCAGGUGCAUUCCAGUGCCAUCUACCCCACAGGAAUCCAUUCCCUUUGAACGGCCAGGCCAGGCCUCCACUGUCCCCUCCCAGCCUGCCCAUGUGGUUCCAAUACUGUUGACACUUUGACUCUUGUGUGGCUCCCAGGCUGGUCUAUGGAGAGGCUUCAGCCAGCUGCAACCACACCACUCCUGGUGUCCGAAUCCUCUGUCCCAACAAUUGCAUGCACUAUUGGCUCAAAAAAGCGUUUUGAAUAUCAAAUGCAAACUCAAUGGGUUGGGACUCAUGGGAACAUUUUCAUCAAAUGCUGGAGAACUUACGGACUCACCUUUCCUUUUCUCCACCUUUCUCCUACAUUCACCAAAACAUUGAACUGAUUGGAGGUCCUGGCCAUCUCACUCACUAAUGGCAACCCCUCCCAAAUGAGUGUCUCCAUUCUGGUAUGUGAGCCAGUGAGCUUCAAUGAACCUCAUAACUUCCAUGUAAUAACAUCUAUGUUCCCUGAAAGCUCUGGUACUUAACCAGGGGCAAUUUUCCCUCCAGGGGACAUUUGGCAACAUCUGGAAACAUUUUUAAUUACACAAUGGGAGGGAGGAGUGCUCCUAGAAUUUAGUGGGGAGAAGCCAGGGAUAAACAUCCGACAAUGCACAGGACAACCGCUCACAAGAAAAAGUGAUCCAGCCCCAAAUGUCAAUAAUGCCAAGGUUGAGAACUGUGCCCUGAAUGUAUUAUAAAGUGUCUUGUAGAAGGUAGUUCUAUUUUAUUUAACUUGUGAUUCGACAUCAGCAAUUCUUGCCUGCCCAGGUUGGUCACCCACACCGCCAGAGGGAAAUGAAGGGCUAGAGGGGACUUCUAACUUGGAAUGGAGACAAAAGGCACAAGACUCCCACAGCAAAUGACAGUAAAGGGGUGCCUGGAGGUCCGGUGCAUUUCUGGGAGCCAGUCCGAAGGGAGACCUCCCUUUUAAAUUCCAAGCACUCAGUCAAUCCAACUCACAGGAAGGCUCCAGAUGAAAGGCCGAUGAGAGAUGUGGAAAGAGAGCACUUUUGUUUCUAAGCUUACAGAGAAGGGUGGAGAAUUUUUUAACUGAGCCAAACCACACACACCUCUAUUGGGGCAUGAAAAAUUUGCGCAUCAACAAGACACAAUCAUGCAAGUGACACGGCUUUUCAUGCGAGUCACCCACGUGGCUCACCAAAUCAAAUGUGAAAGCUUAUUUGUUUUGUGGAAAUUCUCAAAUAAUGGCUCUGCCUGUUGCAGCAGGUAAAACUUACAGUUGAAUUGUGAUAGAGUUUUUUCAACACAGGAUUUUUCUGUUUGACAAUAUUUGAACAGAUGGUAUGUGGGGCAGCACAGGAAGGUGCCCAACAGUUUCCACCCUGAGACCCGGAUCCCAGUGUCUUCCAUGGUUGGCCAGUGUGUACUAUAUAUAGAACUUGGAGUGCUCAAAAUCUUGCUUUCUGCAUGACUUGUACUCAACUGGUCUUAUUCCAUUUACUUUUCCCUGCAUAUUUUCCCCUGGCAUUUUAUUGAUUCUAUCAGGAUUACUUUCAGCUGCAAAUAAUGGCAAACCCAACUAAGAGUGGCUUAAGCAGUGAAGACAAUGACUUAAUUAUCAUUAUAGUCACAUAACAACAGUCAGAAAAUUCCAGGGUUGCUGUCGUGUGGCUCAGUGAUGUCAUGGAAGGAGCUUUUUCUGCUUGGCUAGUCACAGUAAGUUAGAUUUUCAUCUUUAAACUCAUGACCUCAUGAUCAGAAGAUGUCUCUAAAGCUGUAGAUGCAACAACAUUUCAAACAGGAACACAUAGGGUGACGAGCCAACUCCCUUUGCCCAAGGCUGAGGGGUUACUAGAAAGUCCCAAGUUAACUGGGACAAGUUGGUUACCCUAUGGCCACCUUUUGUUAGGGAAGAACAUCUUCCCCAGAAAUUCCAGCAUGUUCUCCUUGGUCUGUUGAUCCAGAACUAGGUCAUAUCCUCACCACUAGACCAAUGACUGGCAAGGAGGCCCAGGAUCCCCCUGCUGUGAUUCAUCCCCUGGGGCUAGAGAAGACCCUCCCCUGGGCUUGCCCAACACUGAAACAGAAUGGAGAUUCUAUUGGCCAGGAAGAAGGUGAGGAACCCAGACAUUCGCCAGAGUGCUCAUGAAAACAAUUAAUUUCCCAGUUAGCCAAAUCUUACCAACCAAGCAGAUUGUGUGUGUUAGACACAUUAUUCAUUCAUUUAUUCCUUAUUAUUUAUUCCUUGAACAAAUAUAUGUGCAAGCUCUAGCCUGGGCCAAGUGGGUCUAGGGGGACCUCCCCCACCCCAGUUCACUCCUCCCACACUGUGGGGCCUACAGAGCUCCAGGUGAUUCUGGCAGAAACUCGACCAUGGCCAACUGGUGCUCCAGGAAACAGAGGGACCUUUGACCUAAUUAUUCCCAAUUGCUUGUCUCCAUCAAUCACAUUCUCUUGAUAAUUGCCCAGCUCCCCACUCUGUUCUUCAGUUUUUUUGUCAAUAAAAAGGAGAAUAUUAUACCUAUUUCAUAGGAUUGUUGAAGAAUUAAGUAACUUAAUACAAGUAAAGUUCACAGAGUUUGCCUGGCACAUGGGAAACAUUCAAUCAAUGUUAGCUAUUACUAUAACACUUGUGGUAGUUUUUCAAAUGGGUUAAAAAUCCUUUUGCACUUCUUUCUUUUCAGGUGGGGGGGAUGGAGGGGAGAGUAAAUCUAUGUUCCUGUCCCUUGAAUCUGUGUGGACUCUAACUGCCUUGACCACUGGGAUAUAGGAAUGUGACUUUGAGGCUGGGUCAUAAAAGGGCAUACCUCUCCUUCCUUGUUUAUGGGAACACUUGCUCUUGGAGUGCUACCCUGAGACCUCCAUACUGGGCAAGUAAGAUGGAGCAUUCUGCUCCACAGUCCUAGCUGAGCCCAGCCUUCUAGCUAUCCCCAUCAAGGUGCCAGACAUCACAGUCCCUCCAGCCUAACCAACUGGUACCAGCAAUGACCUCCAUCCAUCAACACCAUGUGCAACAGAAGAAUUGCCCAACUGAGCCCUUCCCAAAUUCACAGCACAAAAUUGGGGGCUAUAAUAAAAUGAUUGUUGUUUUAAGGUAUGAAUUGUUGGAGUUGUUUGUUACACAGCAACAGAUAACUGAGACACUACUCCUACAGUUGCUUAUUAUUACUACUAUUAUGAUUAUUCUUAUUAGUAUUAAAAGACUGUGCCACUUGAAUCUUGCCCUAACUAUUUCUGGCUAAUAAACUGCCCUUUAAGAAGCUACAGAAAUAUUCCUUAU
rnacentral:lncRNA from 1 species